CACAGAGAGCUUGCUCUCGGGUGACGAGUGGCGGACGGGUGAGUAAUGUCUGGGAAACCGCCUGAUGGAGGGGGAUAACUACUGGAAACGGUAGCUAAUACCGCAUAACGUCGCAAGACCAAAGAGGGGGACCUUCGGGCCUCUUGCCAUCAGAUGUGCCCAGAUGGGAUUAGCUAGUAGGUGGGGUAACGGCUCACCUAGGCGACGAUCCCUAGCUGGUCUGAGAGGAUGACCAGCCACACUGGAACUGAGACACGGUCCAGACUCCUACGGGAGGCAGCAGUGGGGAAUAUUGCACAAUGGGCGCAAGCCUGAUGCAGCCAUGCCGCGUGUAUGAAGAAGGCCUUCGGGUUGUAAAGUACUUUCAGCGGGGAGGAAGGUGUUGCGGUUAAUAACCGCAGCAAUUGACGUUACCCGCAGAAGAAGCACCGGCUAACUCCGUGCCAGCAGCCGCGGUAAUACGGAGGGUGCAAGCGUUAAUCGGAAUUACUGGGCGUAAAGCGCACGCAGGCGGUCUGUCAAGUCGGAUGUGAAAUCCCCGGGCUCAACCUGGGAACUGCAUUCGAAACUGGCAGGCUAGAGUCUUGUAGAGGGGGGUAGAAUUCCAGGUGUAGCGGUGAAAUGCGUAGAGAUCUGGAGGAAUACCGGUGGCGAAGGCGGCCCCCCG
rnacentral:rRNA from 1 species